CUGGCGUCCCUGGUUGCUGAGCAACCAGCCGGGGAGCCACAGACGGAAAGGACGCACCGGCCCUGUUGCCACACAACAACCGGGAGCCAGCGCGACCCGCUACACCACCACCGCUAACAAUAUCUCCUGUGUUUACUAAACUUUCACUGACAAACACCGACUUCAUAUUCGUUAUGGAGACAAUGAUGAGGGGCUUGUCUCCAAUAAUGAGACAUUAAAGUCUUUAUGCUACGAUUUGACCAUGUUUUGGUGGAGAUGGGUCAUUGGGUCUCAACCUGGCAGCCUACACUUGGCCUGAUAGCCAAGUACUUAUUACAGGUGUCCAGCUUCAGCAAUACCAGUCAUAGCACUCAAGUCCAUGCUUUAGCAUAGGAACUUAAAAAACAAGUAACUUCUAUUUCUUGAUCAUCGUCAUCAUCAUCAUCAUCAUCAUCAUCAUCAUCAUCAUAACUAGUGAUCCUCCUUCAUAAUUACUAGUCAUCCUCCCAUUUCCAAAUAAUUGAGGGUAUGUGGAUGCAAAAGGCUGUACAUUGUCUAAAAUUUCAGCUGACACCCUAAGGCUGUCUUCAACGUUAUAUAAAAG